rnacentral:lncRNA from 1 species
AUCUCUGAGUUAGAGUAAACUGUCAAGACUUAAAACUUACUUACUUUACCUUCACUAUGGGACUUGUAACUGUCACUUCUGUCUUGAGUGGUUAAAAGAUAGAACAGUCUAGCCAAGUGCCAUGUCACUUAUUCUUGAUCAGCUAUAGCUCUGGGGUUUUUGCAGAUUUUCAAAUAAAAUUCAGAGAUUCCUUGUAUGAUUCUCUCAGGUCUCUCUUUUGUGGUAUUUCUGGAUCCUUACCAAGGCAUUGAUGGUAUAUGCCUUCUCUCAAGAUAUGUGGUAUUUGUGGUAUAAAGCAUAAUGACAUUGUCUUCUCUCUCACUCUAUUCUAAUAAGGCUUUAAUAUCUGGAGCUCAUAGGUGGGAGAUAAAGUAUACAUACUUACAAGACAUUUAUUGCAUAGUCAAACCAUGGAUCCAAAGUAACAAGUCAAUAAGUUUAAUCAAGAUGUGCAUGUGUGGCGAAUGAAUGGUGUAUGGUGAUGAUGGUGAUAACAUUGGUGAAAACAAUGGUGGUGGAAGUCUAAUUCUACUUUUGCUCUUUUGAGGGGAUACAUACCUUCCUUGCUUUUGAAACUUUAUGAGGAGAAUGAGAUGCUCUUCUUUUUCUUUUCUCUCAGGUGGGUAUCUUGCACCCCUAAUUCUACUGUCGGACACUUGUCCAUUUUUACCUCUCGUCUCACUUUUUCUUUUCUUUCGAGGUUCCGAGCACUUGCUCCUUUUUAUUUCCUCGUAUUAUUUUCUUCUUCUUCUUUUUUUUAGAGCACUCAUCUCUUGAGAUAAUAUAGCAAGUGGUAGUAACAAGAUAACUUGAGCAUUCAUUUCACAAGGGGAAAACAGAAAUAUUUUUGGUUAUUCUCUCCCGGAUUAGGAGUAGAAUAUUUUUAGGUGGUUCUGGAGAUGGAAAUGAGUGGAUGUAUGUGGAUGGUACUUCCGGAGUAGAAGUAGCAUAUAUGAGUGAACGUGCAAGUGAAAUCUUGAUUUAAACACAUGACAAGCUCCUAAGGGUCUACACAGCUUGACCAUACUCAAUGCUCAUAAGCAGUAAAUAGUAAAUGUGUGGCUCAAGGUCUAGUAAGCAUGUAUAUAUGGCUGUGGUAGGAAUUUAAGCUCUCAUCAUACAGGAACUCAUCAUGCAACAUUUUAAAGAUUUUCAAAGAUAAAUUCUCCAGAAUUCUAGCAUCUCUAGGAACAGAUAAACAGCAGCUCAACCUUCCUAUAUCGUAUCCGUUAACAACUUAGACUUCAGAUCAAGUUUUCAUCCCACAAGUUUAGGUCUAGAGCAAGCUUUAAAUUAUAACAGUUAUAUCUAAACUUGAGAGAGAACUUAAAAUUUGCAAAUUAGGCAGAGCAACUAUUCAUCAUAUCCAUGCUUAAGAUUUAUUUAGAUACAGAUUAGCAUAGCCACUUUAUUUAUUUAUUAAACACACUAAGCAAAAGACAUAUAAGCAUAAAAUCUUUAUUUGGUUUUCCCAUAGUUUAUGUGUAUUAAUAUUCUAAAAUAAUAUAAAUAUAAAGAUAGAUAGAUAGAAAUACUUAUCGAGAUAAAUGGGGGUGCUCUCCCCCAAGCUGAAUUUUGACGUAAUUUCUCUUGAUGUAGCUAGCAGGUGGCAGAGGUGUAUUUGAAAAUCAGCAGCAUUCUGACAGCGAUUAGAAUGUCCUCUGUCUGCUAGUCUUCUUGAUUCUAAAAUUCUGUGGAGCUCAAAUAGACAACAAAGCUUGUGGAACUGGUUAAGUGUUAGCAUAAAUAUAUAGCCUUCAUCAUCUUGAGACUCCUUAAUAAUUAUUACUCCCUGUUUUUAUAUUUUUAUUUUUAUUUUUAUAAAGCAGAAAAAAUAUUUAUUUUAUUUUUAUGCCACCACAGUGAAUGUACUUAUGGUUUUUAUGCCACUCGUCUACUCACAUGGGGCUUACUGUUUUUUACAUUUUUAUUUUCUUUUAUUUUUUUAAGAUAGUAUGAAUAUGAUUAACUAAGUAAACUAUUUAAAAUAAUUGAAAGGGAAAGGAUAACUACCAAGUUUACCUCUUGGCAAGGCGUUCGGUGUUUUUAAGUCCUCCGAACGGGACUCUCCAUUUUCUUAAUCGUCCUGAGGUUCGUUGGGUGGCGUAGUCGGUACUUCCGGCAGCGCCUCCUCUUCUUGUAUAGUUAUCUUCAUUUUCCACACCUGACUCGGUGCUUCAAUCUCCUCUGGAUAAUUCUGUUUAAACUCUACGUCUUCUGACCUUACAACUUCUCCUUCAUAGUCUGCCCAUCCGUCCUUGAUGAUCUGCCUCCUCUGGUUGCGGUUGCGUCUCUUUCUGACCUGCUUAGAUUCUUCAACAAUAUAGUUAGGGUCAGUAAAGUAACGGCGUACCUUCUCUGAGGGGAAGUGCAUAUGGACUUCUCCGGUUCCAAUGUAGAUAAUGGCUUUAACGGUGCUGAGGAACGGUCUUCCAAGGAUGAUGGGUGGAUCAUACUCGUCUUCUCCCAUGUCAACAACUUGAAAGUCUGUGUAGACAAAGUGAUCGUCUAUUUUGACUGGGACAUCAGAUACUAUUCCUUGAACUUCUCGAAAUGUCUGAUCUGCCAUCUGGAGUUGAAUGUAUGUUGGUCUUAGUGGCAUGGUCCCGAACAAGAGCCGAUAGGUGACUGCGGCCAUUAUGUUGACGCCUGAUCCGGUGUCGCAAAUCGUCUUGUAGAAGUUGUAUCCGUUUAUGGAGCAGUAAAUGCUUGGCAUUCCUGGGUCGUCCUUCUUGGUCAAAAACGGUGACUUCAGUUGGUGAUCUUGGCCUCCAUGGACUACAGUGACCAUCUUAGCUGACUCGGUCCACACUUGCUUGUUCCUGUUUCUCCUGUUGGUCCUCUUCCUUGAUUCACGUCUGGAUUGAUUUGGAAUUUGUGUAGUCUUGUUCUUGAAGAAAAAUGUCUCCUUCUUCCCUUUGACGUAGAAACUGAUCUUAGCAGCACUGGCGUAGAUGAUAGCUCCCGUGGUGUUCAAAAAUGGCCUCCCUAGGAUGAUAGGUGCUCUCUCAUCAUUUCCGGUCUCUACCACUACGAAGUCUGCUGGUGCAUACAAGGUACCAACUCGGACACAAAGGUUCCUCACUAUUCCUUUUGGAAAAGUAUCGUCUGAUCUGCAAACUGCAAACACAUGGUUGUCUCUAAUAAAGGAUAUGUAAAGAAUUUCUCAUAGAGUACCCUGGGUAUAAUGUUGACACUGGAGCCAAAGUCACAGAGUGCUUCUGGGAAGUCCACCAUGCCGAUGGAGAUCGGGAUGACGGGGCGUCCUGGAUCGCCUCUCUUGACCGGCAGAUGGUCAGUAGAAAAUUCAGUGACGGGGUUACUCCAAUUACCUGCAUCAAACGUGUCUACAAGAUUUGCAGAUUCUAAUUCUUCCGGUUGUGAUGGUAUACCGGGGUUAGUAGUAGGAACAGCAGCAGCUAUCUGAUUUAACUGAGAUUCAAUCAUUUUAUUAAAGCUAAUUUGAUUCUUGAUGGCAGUAGAAAAAUUAUCCAUUCUAUUAUUUAUAUUUUCUAGCAUUUUAUCAUUAGAUGCCAAUUUCUUAGAUAGGUUAUCCAUUAGCUUUCCUUGAUUAGACACUAACUCUCUCAAAGGUGGAAAAUUAUUAUUAUUGUAAGAAUUGUUACCUUGAUAAUUACCUGAGUAGUUAGGCCUCUGUUGAUUCCAACCUUGAUUUUGUUGAGGACGGUUGUAGUAGUAGUUGUUGUUGUUGUUGAUGUAGUUCACAUCCUCAAGUAUCUCAGGGCAGUGGUUGCCUGAGUGUCCAGUGUCUCCACACUCCUCACAAGUCAUGUGAGAGUCGUAGAUGUGCAUAACUUCUUUCUUGUCUCCAGCUUUAUCAUCGAGCUUCUUCAUGAGCAGGUCUAGCUUUGCAGACAGCAUGUCUACCUCCUUCAGCUGAUGCAUACCUCCACCUCUCUUGCGUGUCUGGGUCCUUUCUUCAUUCCAGCUUUGAUUGGACGCCAUCUUCUCCACAAGAGCUGUGGCUUGUGGUAUAGUAAGUGAUAAGAAUGCUCCUCUAGCUGCAGCAUCCAUAGUCUCUCGGGCACUGUUGCUGAGCCCAUGAUAGAAUGUCUGCAUCAAUAGCCAACUCUCCAUUCCAUGAUGGGGACAUUCUAGGAUGUAGUCUUGAAAGCGCUCCCAUGCUUCUGGAACAGAUUCAUCAUUUUGUUGCUGAAAACUUGUAAUCUUCCCACGGAGAGCAUUGGUCUUGCCCAUGGGAAAGAACUUAGCCAGGAAGUUUGUUGAGCAGAGUGCCCACGUAGUAUUCUUCUCCUUUGUAGCGUAGAACCACUGCUUCGCUCUUCCUAACAGUGAGAAAGGAAAGAGGCGAAGUAGUAUAGCGUCUUUGGAAACUCCUGCUAUGGUGAAUGUGUUGCAAAUCUCCAGGAAGUGUUGUAAAUGAGCACUAGCAUCUUCAUGUGCCUUCCCACAGAACUGGUUGGAUUGCACCAUGUUGAUAAGUCCAGGCUUGAGCUCAAAGUUGCCAUCGAUCUCUGCAGCAGGUCCAGUGCGGAUGUUGUCCGUAGUGGGAGCUGAGAACUCGCGGAUUGAUUUGUUCGCCAUGACUUCGAACUCUGAAGACAAGUUCCGGUGAUCUUCUUGAUUGGAUGAAGCUUCUUCGUGAAGUGUUGAUGAUUUCUUUAGCUUGGCUCUCGUCUUCUUGAAUAAUGCUUCGGGAUUGUCAACAAAAUUUCCUGGAAGAUGUCUUCUAUUCAUACAUUCCCCUGCAUAAGAUAAAAUAGAAAAAUAUCGGGGUAAAACUGUAUGAGAGAAUAGAUAAGCUCAAUCAUAUUAGUGAUGCGAAUGAUAACUCAAAAUCUUUUAUUCCAUUCCUGAUUGGUAAUCAACCUUCCCCGGCAACGGCGCCAAAAAUGCUUGUUGGGUAUUCUUAACAUCAUUACUAAAAGUAGACUAAGUUCUCUAAAUCUAGCAACGGUGCCAAAAAUGCCAAACCUAUCCCUCACACCACUUAAGCCAAGUUGUCAUCCCCAGCAUGACAUGGGAGACGCGGUAUUGAAAUAUGCAAUUGCUCUUCUAAAUAAAUAAUUAAUGGGAUCUGCAAGCGCACAGAUUAAUACCGAUGCAGCAUUUUAACCGGGAAGUAUUCCAGGUAUCGUUAUUUAUAUUUUUACCACUGGGAAGGGAUUAGCAAUCAUCACUAUUGAUUACAGAAUAGAAUAUGAGAUUGAGCAACUAUCAUUGCAUGUAUAAUUGAGAACAUUAUAUCUAACUCUUCAUACAGGGAUAAGUGUCACAUAAAAGAUAUAUGAAAUAAUAAUAGUGACAAGGAUAACUAAUCUGAUCUAGCCACAUAAUAAAUAUGAUAAGCACCUCAAUUAGAUACUCUAGAAAGUCAUUAGCAUGGUAUUAGAACGAACUACAAGAAUAUUCCCUAAGUUAUUCUCAACUAUAUAGUCUAGCAUAUCAUAGUUAGUGCAAGCAUACUUAGCAAUCAUUGCGAGACAAGACUACGCCCAUGCAUAGUGAUAUUAGCAAGGAAUAUGAGAAACAUAGCAAUCACUCCCCUGUAAUAAUGUUGCUCUGCCAGCCCAAUACACGAGAGGGGGACUAUAUAAGAAUCAAUGAAGCUGUCACUAUCACGAACUACCCCACGAUCUGGCAUAUUGGGUACAAUCGCAGAUAAAUACGGUAUAAGCACCACGCCUACACAAUAUCUAUCAUUUACCCAUGGAUCCGAUGGAUAAACGCUAUACGAUCCUAAGCAUGUAUAUAGAUCGUAUCUAACUAAGCUAAGUACAUAACUAUGAUAAACUAAGAACAAUAUAAUCUUGAAUAUAAGCAAGUAGAGCAAAGUCAUAAGCAAUAUAUUGAAGUAGAACAAAGUCAUAUUCAUAAUAUUGAAGAACAAAGAUAAUUAGAAAGCAAUUAGAAGCACAAUUAGAGAAUUACCAAGAAUCCUCCUGACAGAUCCGGAAACCAAUCGAAGAUUGACUCCUUCUAGUUCUAAUCCUAUGUAGCUAUGCUAAUCUAGAUAUCUAAUUGAUGUGGUGGCUCUAAUCUUGAUCAGAGGCUUCUUCUCCCUUGAUGGAACAAUGAAUUAGGGUUGAGAGGCUCUCUCCUCCAGGGGCCAGGGGGUCGGUUUUAUAGUCCCUUCAAGUGAAUAUGGGCCCUUGGAUCAAACCGACAUAGAUUGUAUGGUUUAGAUUCAUCCUUUAGGUCGGUGGAGAUCUCCCGCAAAGCAGAGUCCUGAUUGGACUCCAGAGGUGGGCGGCCGCCCAGGGUCUGGCCCCGUUUCGCCUCCGCUUCGGUCUCGUGGCUUCUGGAGUCUUCUAGAUGUAAGAUAAUUGCGCAGCACGUUAAUAUCUUUACGUAAUCCUGACAUGUGGGCCUUUCUUCCAUAUUUCCUGAUAACCCCCUGCAGAAAUAGACAAACACCAAAACUCGUGGAAUUCUGUCAGAUAAAACCCUAAGUCUAGAUCUUUAUUUCAUUUGGAUCCUUUUCUUUAUUUAUUUGAUAAUUAAAUUUGAUACUUAAGGACCGUCAACACCAUCCUCAAUGUUUUAUAUGCCUGCUAAACCUGAAAAUAUUAAUAUGAUAAUUAUAAAAGCUAUCUGCUCUGUAUUAAGUUUGCUCAAAACAAGUUAGACCCUUGUUGAGAGAUUUAUCAUGCUCCUAAGAUCAAGACAUUUUUUAUUCAGAAAGAUUCACUCUUCCGAAGUAUUAUUGCGUUAGAGGCAUGGGCUAUGCAAAAGUAUAAGUAUUUUGAGGAAAUAUAAAGGAGCAAGUGCUCGACAACCUCACAGAAAAAAAUGGACAAGUGUCCGGCAGUAGAAUUAGGGGUACCUCGGUAUCCACCUGAAAAAAAGAAGAAGAAGAAAAUGAUAACCCAUGGUCCCUCUAAUAGGCAAUAUGCCAGUAAGAGUUGAAAAGUUUUUAAUUUCCAAAGUCUUUGAUCUAAGAGUAUGGCAUUCUUUCUCCUCGGAUCCUGUUUUGAUCAGGCAAUAAAUGCAAGGUAAGCAUGCUUGAGAAUUUCUACAAAAUUAAAACAGCCUCAGUGAGAUAUAAAAGAUAAUGAGUGAUCUGAGAGCACCUAUGAGGAUAAAGGUAUGCUAAAAUUCUUUUAAAAAAUAUACAAAAAACUCCAAGUGACAGGAUUAAGAAGAAAGGAUCUCUACUCUUGGCCAUAUAUUUCCUGAUUACGGUACACAGUGAAUUUUUACAACACCCUGUAGGUAUGAAAAGAAUGCUUACAAUGUUUUAACCCCAGAUAUUUUUCUUAACCAAGCCUAAGUAUGGGGGUAUUUGUUGAUGGUUCUUAAGUAUCAAUUUUAAUUAUCAAAUAAACAAGGGAAAGAACCAAUAUACAGAUAACACCUAGAAUUAGGGUUUGAUCUGACAGAAUUACAUAAGUUUUGUUGUUUAUCUAUUUCUACAGGGGGUUAUGAGGAAAUAAGGAAGAAAGGCCCACAUGUCGGGUUUACAUAGAGAUAUUAACGUGCUGCACAAUUUUCUAUCAUCUAGAAGACUCCAGAAGCCACGGGAACGAACGGGAGGCCGAUCGGGCCCGAGGGCAGGGCGCCCGCCCUACCCCCCUGGGUGCCCGCCCUCCUCUGCUGGCCAAUCAGCACGAGUCUCGCAGAUCAUGCUCCACCGACCUAAAGGAUCAAGGAGAACCGUUCAAUCAAUGUCGGUUGGAUCCGACGGCCCAGAUUCAUUUGUAAAGACUAUAUAAGCAAGGCCCCCAGGCCCCUAGAGAGGAGGAAUCCAAUUAUUCAUUAGCAUAUUUUCUAGAGAUGAUUCAGAGAGAGAGGUUCCUUAGGGUUCCCACCUCAUCGGGCGUAGCAUCCAAUGUGGGAGUAGACUAGUCCUACUAGAUUGAGAGAGAUAGAGUGGAGGUGUAGAUCGGAGGAAGCCCGGCCUGUCGGUGUCUAGUCCGAGGUUGUACUUGCGGGAUCAAGUCUUCUAACCCAAGGCUUUCUCCUAGGAUUCUUCAGUAUUUCGACUUCUAAAUUUUAGUAAGUUCUUUGUUUUAUUGUUCUUUGGUUUAUGAGUUUACUCUGAUCUCUUUGCGUAGAGUUUAGAGUAAUCAUCUCUAGCGUAAACGUGGUGUUUGGGCUAGGAUACUCAUAGAUAUCUCGUGACUAGCUGGACCGUGGUAGUAGCGAGGAACGUGACAUUUCCGAGUUACCUUUGUAGCUCAUAUCCUGUUAGUAGGAUCGAUAGGGUUUAUAGGUGUGGGUCGAACAUCCUCUGUGGUGUCUAGAUUCCAUGAGCCUCCCCAACAGAACAAUAGAUCAUCCUUACCAAGGUUAGAAUGAGAGUGCGGUUGUAAUCUUCUCUAUACAUCACUCACAUCGAGUCACAUAGUUUGUAGCCUAAAGGUUAGUAGUAAUAGACCGGGUUAGUCAGAUGCACGCUUUCUCCUAGUGCUAAAAAUAUAAAUACGAUACUCUGGAUAACAUCCCGGGUGAAGUGCUCACCGAUAUCCGUACGCUUGCGGAUUAAUUCUGAUUGCAUUACCAAAUAUCAACAACAACCACCAAGAGUAACAAGAAAACCGCAACUAGAACGAUCCCCAAGUGCCACUAGAUGCAAUCACUCAAGCAUACGCACUUGGAAUCACUCCCAAUCUCACAAAGAUGAAUAAUCUAUGAAGGAGAUGAGUGAGAGGAGUUUGAGGCUCACGAGAAUGUCUAAUAGUCAAGAAUGCCAAGAGAAUGAGCCCUAAGCUGGCCAACAACUAUUUAUAAGCCCCUCAAACAAAUAGAGCCGUUGGCUCUUUUCACUUGGCAAAACUCGGGGUCACCAAACGCUCUACAUGAGGCACUAGACGCUGGAACAGAGUGUCCGGUGCUCCAAAAGCAGCCACAUCUCAGCUCUUGGAACACUGCGCGUCGAUCUCUAAUGGUAACCUGCACCGGUCUUAAACACAGAGAGGUCUGCAAAACGCGUAGGCCAGCGGACGCACACCACCGGAUGCUCCCUGAGCAUCCGGUGCUUCUAGUCAAACACACCGGCCGAAGUCAGAUAGCACCGGACGCAUGAACAGGAGCUACCCUGCGUCCAGUGCUCACCGUCCGGUGCUUAACCCUAGCACCACAGCACACCGGACGCACAGCCUCUACGUCCGGUGCCUCAACGGCCAGCGUCUGGUGAGUGGUUCUUAGCGAGAAACACUCCCGCGACUUCUCCAAACUUCCCACCGGUGCAAUAGAAAAAAUAUGCACUUCAUUUUCUCAAAAAGCGCUGAAUCAUUUUCUAUGAAAGAGUUAAGUUAGUGUUGACACUUGCUAACACCACUUGAAUACUAGGUUGUCAUCCCCAGCGUGGCACUAGAGUGUACUAUGGUAUUUAUAUGCACACAGAUAAAUCCGCAAGUGCACGGAUACCUUUGUAGCUUUUACCCGGUUAAAGGUUUUAUCGUAUCCACAGGGAAAUGGGAGAACUGAUCUAUGCUCUAACUUAACCUAGAUAGAUGGGUAAGUGUAAAUAGGAAAGAUGGUAGAAUUGAAUAAGAACAAUAUUAAAGGUAAGAUAACAAUGGGUGAUAAUAGGGGAAUAGAGAGUAGAGCAAUCUAAUAUAUGGACGAUGGUAGGAGAAUAGAGAGGAUAACUAUGGUUUCUCUACUUCAAAGGGGUAUGUCUAUGUCUGGGAUGAACCACGUGAUAAGAAUACACCACAAAGGAUGCUUAUCCAUAGGCCGAUAAACCCUACCAAUCCUACUAACGAGAGGUGGACUAUAGGGGACCAACGUAACUGUCACCUACGCGGCCUACCACACGAUCCGGCUAGACAGGGGAUAUCCACAAGUAAUCUAGGUCUAAGCACCACGCUUACACCUAUACUACAACUCUAACCUAUAGGGUCCUAUAGAUUAAAAGUACUCAAAAGAGUUGUGAACCAGAACAUACAUAGAUAGUAAUUACAUAACGAAAUAGAAGUAGAUUACCAGAGUCAUCCCAUGAGCAUGCUUGAUUAGAACUUGAUCAUGGCGAAGUACAACCGGAGGAAGAACCGACAGGCCGGCCUCUCCUCCAAUCCUCCCUCGCUCUCCAUCUCGCUACUAUCUAGAUCUACCCUAGUUUAGAGAUGAGAGGAGAGCUCUCAUCUCCAAACCCUAGCUUUUGCUCUGUCUAUGUAGAGGAAAGGUUAUCCUUCGAGGGCACCUCUCAACUCUACAAUGAACUUGUUCUCCUCCAGGGGCCAGGUGGUCUGCUUAUAUAGUCCCCUCAAGUGAAUCUUGGUCGUCGGAUCAAACCGACAUUGAUUGAACAGUUAUCCUUGAUCCUUUAGGUCGGUGGAGCGUAAUCCACGAGACGGGUCCUAAUUGGACUCUAACUCAGGGUGGGCGCCCUAGGAGGGAGGGCGAGCACCCUGCCCCCGGGCCCGAUCGCCUUCCCGUUCGUUCCCGUGGCUUCUAGAGUCUUCUAGAUGAUAGAAAAUUGCGCGGCACAUUAAUAUCUCUAUGUAAACCCGACAUGUGCGCCUUUCCUCCAUAUUUCUUGAUAACCCCCUGCAGAAAUAGACAAACACCAAAACUCAUGGAAUUCUGUCAGAUAAAACCCUAAGUCUGGGUGUUGGUCUCAUUUGGAUCCUUUUCUUUAUUUAUUUGAUGAUUAAAUUUGAUACUUAAGGACCGUCAACAACUCCCCCAAGCUUACCUCUUGCUUGUCCCUGAGCAAGGAUGGACUCAAGAGUUUCUGCAGUGGUUUCAUGUCUUAAAAGGUACACAUGCAUUCAAACAAGAUCCCAUCUCUAGGUUAGGGUAAACUGUUAAGAUUUAAACUUACUCAUUUUACCUUUCACCAUGGGGCUUGUAACCAUCACUUGUAUCUUGAGCAGUUAAAAGAUAGAACAGUCUAGUCAAGCGCCAUGUCUCUUAUUCUUGAUUAGCUAUAGCUCUGGAGUUUUUGUAGAUUUUCAAAAUAAAACUCAGAGAUUCCUUGUAUGACUCUCUCAAAUCUCUCUUUUGUGGUAUUUCUGGAUCCUUUCCAAGGCAGUAAUGGUAUAUGCCUUCUCUCAAAGUAUGUAGUAUUUGCGGUAUAAGGUAUAGUAACAUUGCCUUCUCUCUCACCCUACUCUAAUAAGGCUUUGAUAUCUGGAGCUCAUAGGUGGGAGAUAAAGUAUACAUACUUACAAGACAUUCAUUGCAUAGUCCAACCAUGGAUCCAGAGAAACAAGUCAAUAAGUCAAAUCAAGAUGUGCAUGUGUGGUGAAAGAAUGGUGUAUGGUGAUAAUGGUGAAAACAAUGGUGAAAGUCUAAUUCUACUUUUGCUCUUUUGAGGAGAUACAUACCUUUCUUGCACUUGAAGCUUUUUGAGGGGAAUGAGAUGCUCUAUAUUUUCUUUUUCUUUUCUCUCAGGUGGGUAUCUUGUACCCCUAAUUCUACUGUCGGACACUUGUCCAUUUUUACCUAUCGUCUCACUUUUUCUUUCCUUCGAGGUUCCGGGCACUUGCCCCUUUUUAUUUUCUCGUAUUCACUUUUUUUUCAGAGCACUCACCCUCCUAGAAUGUAGCAAGGGGUAGUAACCAAAAUAUCUUGAGCAUUUAUUUCACGGGGAAUAGCAGGGAUAGAAUAAUAUUUUUGGCUAUUCUCUCCUGGAUAGGAGUAGAAUAAUUUUGGGUGAAUCUAGAGAUGGAAAUGAGUGGAUGUAUGUGGAUGCGUACUUCUGGAGUAGAAGCAGCAUGUAUGAGUGAACGUGCAAGUGAAUCUUGAUUUUAACCGUAUGACAAGCUCCUAAGGGUCUACACAGCUUGAACACACUCAAUGCUCAUAAGCAGUAAAAAGUAAAUGUAUGGUUCAUAGUCUAAUAAGAAUGUAUAUAUGGCUGUGGUAGGAUUUUAAGCUCUCAUCAUACAGGAACUCAUCAUGCAACAUUUUAAAGAUUUUCAAAGAUAAAAUUCUCCAGAAUUCUAGCAUCUCUAGGAACAGAUAAACCGCAGCUCAACCUUCCCAUAUCAUAUCCGUUAACGACUUAGACUUUAGAUCAAGUACUCUUCCCACAAGUUCAAGUUUAGAGCAAAUCUUAAUUCAUAACAGUCAUGCCUAAACUUGAGAGAGAAUUCAAUUUUGAGAACUAGUCAUGGCAGAGCAACUAUUCAUCAUUUCCAUGUGAGAGCUUAUCAUGAGGGUUCAUAGCAAACUUUAUUUAUUUAUUUAGCAAACUAAGCAUAGAUAUAUAUAAGCAUAAAAUCUUUAUUUGGGUUUUUAUGAUUAUGUAUCUUUUUAUUAUUUGAGUAAAGUAUAAACGCGAGUAGAAACACUUAGCUGGAUAAAUGGGGGUGCUCUCCCCCAAGCUGGAUUUUGACGUAAUUUCUUCUGAUGUAGCUAGCAGGUGGCGGAGGUGUAUUUGAAUGUCGGCAGCACCCUGACAGCGAUUAGGAUAUCCUCCGUCUCCUAGUCUUCUUUGAUCCUUGAAUUCUUUGGAGCUCAAAUAGACAACAAAGCUUUGUGGAACUGGUUAAGUGUUAGCAUAAAAUCUCUUUGCCUUUAUCAUGUUGAGCUUCCUCUAAUAAAUAUUACUCUCUUUGGUAGGAUCAUAAAUUUAUUUUUAUAUUUUCAUUUUUAUAGGAUAGGAAUAUUUUUGGUUUUACGCCACCACAGUGAAUGUACCUAUGGGUUUUAUGCCACGAGCAUACUUCACGUGGGGCUUACUGUUUUUAACAUUUUUAAUUUCUUUUCAAGAUAGCAUGAUUAACUAACAAGCCAUUUAAGGAAAGUAAAUAAUUUAAGGAAAAGGGAAUGAAGGAUAAAUAUGGAUAACUACCGAUUUUACCUUUCGGCGAGGGUUCAAUGUUUUAAGUCUUCUGAACAAGACUUCUCACCGUGUUCAUUCUUCAAGUGCGUCAUUUGAUUCAGGUGUGGACCUUGACGUCUGCACCUCUUGAUACGGUGUCACCCAUGUUCUUCGUUUGCGUAGCAGUUUGAAGUGCGGCGUUGGCAGUAUCUUGCUCAGUGUGUUUGUGCUCGUAGAUCCAGGUUCUUCACUUGGUGGAGUCUAGGAGUUGUAAAACUCCUCCAUGUUUUGCUCGAAGUGUACCUGCUCAUAGAGACAAGGCAGAGAUUAAGUGCAUGGGCCCUGUUGGUGGAAAACACCAAUAGAACCAAAAGUGUAUUUGUUCUUCUUUAACCUUAAGCAUAGUGAGCAAGACAAAGUUGAUGGGUGAUAAGUUCACGAGUGUAACAUUUAAAACAUUUGUCAAAUCAGAUCGCUCAACCUAUGGAAAGAUAAUCUAUCUAUGUAUAUGUCUUUUUCAUUAUAUCUCUCAAAGAUUGAAUGUGCAACAUUUUAGCUCAUAUGAUUAGGAGUGUGGGAUCAUGGAGGUAGUACUAGGAACAAAGUGUCGGUGUUUUCCCCCGGGGGGUGACACCAAUGAGUAAACUUGUAUGCGUGCUCCCUUUCCCAGAUGGUGAUGCAAAAAGACACAAAGAUUUAUCUUGGUUCGGGCAAGAGAAGGCCCUACGUCUAGCGGGGGGGAGAGUUUGUAUUAUUCUGCACCUAAGUGCUUGUACGGGGUGAAUACAAGCGUGGUAUGGAUGGAGAUGGAGUGAGUCCGCUCUACUACGUAUGGCUUGCAUGUUGUGUUGUAUCGCGUCCCCCGUAUCCACUCCCGGGCCUCCCCUUUUAUAGUUCCAAGGAGAGGCCUAGGGUACAUGUAUAGGCGUCAGAGUUGGGGUCGAUAGAGGUAUGGCGCGCUGACCUACUCGAGGCCUCCGUACCGGCGUGGUUUCGAGCCAUCUUGUCCUGGUAGCUUGAUGAUGAUUACGCGUGCCCCUGUAUCCCGCUCUGUGCGCCGUCCUAGACCGGUUUAUUUGUUGCACGCAUGUACGUCGCGGCAGCAGCUGCGUCGGAGUGGUUGAAGUGCUGUCACUCAUUACCCGACCCUUUCCCAGGAAGGAAACGUGCCUACUCGAGGGUCGGAUGCCGUGUAACGCCUCGCUAGCCAGAGCGCUGACUUUGGGCGUCUCGAGGGGGUCUUGAUUAGACGUUCUGACCCACUUUCUGCGUCCUGCCACGCUCUGGCUUGUUUGGUGGGGAAGGCUGCAAAAAGAAUGACAGGACGUGUGCCUGUUCCCUAUCACGCUUCCCGUGACUGGCGGGUUAGGUGAGAACGCGACAGGCGCAUUAAAUGCCCUGGUUCCUGUGCCCGCGUCAGGCGGCGGGCGGCGUCCUUGCGCUCGACGCCUUCCGAUUCGCUCGAGCCUAUUUUCGUAUUCGACGGUAGCCGGCGCUCGAGCCCUGGUUGAUUCGUAGGACGCUCUUUCCAUGUUCGAGGCUACGGACGUCGAGGACCAUGCGUAUGACUGGGUAGGGCGUCGAGUUGGAGGCCUCGACUUGCGUACGGAUAUUCUCGUUAUGCACAUCAGUUGGGGUACCCCUUACUGAUAUCCUUGACAGUAGCCCCCGAGUCUCCAUUCGAGCGCUUGCGCUCGAGUGGAGGCUAUAUUUUUGUGGUCGAGUUUCCGUGGGGGCGCGCGAGCGACCCCGCGGGGGUAGCCCCCGAGCCCUUGGAGGAGUUUUUGACUCCUUCGAGGGUUAUGCUACCUGGUCUGUGGAAACGCUCUCGAUGUCCAUCAUGAGGAUGGGCUGAAAACUGGGAUUGGUUUGUUUUGCGCAAGGGUUGCGAUGUACUCUCGAUAGAGCGAGCGUCAUCUACCCCAGAUUGAGCUCUUAGCGGGUGAUCCAAGUGAGAACCUGUGCCCCUUUCGUGUGGGUCAGCUGUAGCCCGGAGGCGUUCUCAUAAAGCAGGGUCGGCGUGGUCGGGGAUGCUGGUCUCGUUCGAUAGAGUCCAGUGGCUCGAUGCCUCCCUUCGGGGGGAUUCAUCUCGACCGUCUCAACCCUACCUUGGACAUCCCCAGCGAGUUCUCGAGGCGGGCCUCAAUUUUCGACCACUCGCCGGGCAUCCCUGACUCUGGUGCUCGAGAUCGGCUGUCGAACCCUUUCGGCAGGUCAGCCUGCGACCUCUCGGGACUUUCAUGGGUACGUACCUUGGCUUAUAGGGGAAGGAAAAGGAUCGCGGCGGUUCGCCUUUUCGCCUGUUCGGCGCGUCUUUUUAGGCGGGAGCCGUUGCGACACUGUACCGGUGCGGAAUUCGUAGCGUCCCAUUUGUGAGAGAGCUGAGGACCGUUAGACGGCGCAUUUAUGAGAGGAGUUACCGUGUUUAUCGGAUCUGUCCGUUGGUGGCCUGCCGUCUAUAAAUGCCUCGUGGUGUCGUUGCCGUCGCUCCUUCCGCCUUCUGCAUUCGUCCUUGCCCCAGCUUCCUUGCCAUUCCUCACACGCGCGCACCCUCGAGCAGUAGCAAGUUUGCCUUUCUCCCACCCGAAAAUGCCUGUGAGACUCAUCGCCGCCGAUGACUGGCGCCCGUCGUCGAUGAUGGAGCGCCGGCUGUUGGAGCUUGAGAGGGAGGGGCUCCUGCACCCCCGCACUUCGUCAUCGCGGCCGGAGUGGAUCGCGCCGGCGGCGGACCACCGGGAGCCAAGGCCGCCCAAGGGCUACGUGGUCUCCUUCGCCAAGUUCCACCACCACGGCUUGGGCACUCCUUCGAGUCGCUUCAUGCGGGAGCUCUGCCAUCACUACAUGGUGGAGCUCCAGCACUUCUCUCCAAACGCCAUCACCGUCGCGGCAGUCUUUGCCGCGGUGUGUGAGGGCUAUUUGGGGAUGAUGCCCCACUGGGAUCUGUGGCUCCACCUGUACCGGGGCGAGUUUUUCAACGCUCCCAUCAGAACUACUGGUGUGAGGAAACUCGUGCGGGUCGGGUGCCUCAAUCUGGUGCUGAAGACCGGCAAAACGGAGAGGCCGCGCGAGUACUUCCCGGUGGGAUUGUCAUCGAACCAUGCUGGAUGGGACUCCCAGUGGUUCUACUUGCGAAACGAUGAUAGCCUCCUUCCUGCCUACACCGGCCGCUUGAUCUCGGAGCGCCCGGAGAACUGGACAUACGGCGUCGUCCAAGUCAACCAAUCGCGACUGGACCGCCUCCUCGACGCCUUGAAGAAAUUAUGCGUGGAAGGCCUGACCGCCGCUCUCGUCCUCUCGGCCGUCCAUCAUCGGAGGGUUCUCCCGUUGAUGUCUCGACCGCUGAGGAUGGACGAGAUGGGUCCCGGCAUUUCGUCCCGGGAUCUCGAGGCGUGCUGGAUGUCCAACGAGGCUCCGGCGGACGAUGAGGUCGCGGCCCGGGUCAGGGCGGCUAUCGCUGGUGACUUCCAGCCGGAGCAUGUCAAUGGCUUCCCUAUGAGGCCCGACGUGGGGUCAAUUGACCUGGUAAGUAUUUUUUCUACUUACGACUUCGAUCCUCGAUUUUCUUCGGUCCUUCUUAAGACUUGUCCAUGUCUGCGCAGGGAUCGAUCGACGUUCGAUCCUCGAGGCCUCCAGUGAAGGAGGACGAGGUCGAUCGUGACAAGCGGCGAGAGUCCGCGGAAAAGCAAAAGUCCACAUUGGACUUAAAAAAGAAAAAUGAGAAGAAAAAGAACCUCGAGCGCCAAGCACUGGAGACGCGCCGAGCGAAAUCCAGGCAGAGGUGGGAGCCUGAGGAAGAGUCCCCUGAUGAGGACGAUGGCGGCGAUGGUGAUGACGAUAGCGACGACUCCGAGGGGAUGGUGUCCCGUCUUGACAGGAUCCUCGAGGGUCCGCCUCGAGCUGACGCCGACGCCGACGCCUCACGGACGGGAGCACCAAAGGAGGGGCCAGGCGGCUCUCUUGAGAGGCAACAGAGGGAGUCGUCGCCUCGCCGCUCCUGUGCUGAUAUCCCCCCCGCGCCUGCACAAAGUCGGUCCGUCCCGCGCCCCCAACCUCCCCCUGCGCCAAAAGGCGGGCGACCGGGCUAAGCCCCAAGCGACGGGGCCGUUGACACGUGGCCGUGCCACGACCUCCGGUAAGGGGGAGACAAGCCGCAGGAGUGCUAGCCCUAGCGCUCGCCAGGCGGGAGAUGCCGAGCCGAGGCCCGCGCCCAUUCGUGAGGGGCCUGGAGCCUCGACGCGGGGCGGUUCGAGGCCUGCCGGUCGAGGUACCGGCGGGCGGGCCGUUCUCCCCGUGGGGUAAGGUCUUCGAUGCUAUGAUUCUCAUCUUCCUAUGUCUUUGCGUUUUCUCGUGUAAUGGCCUCUCUCAUGCCCGUUCUUCUCUCUUUAGGUUGAAGCGGACGCUCGAGCAGGCCCAGCCCUUAAUGGCCAAAAGGCUUAAAGUGGGAGUGGCCCCCAAAGAUUCAGGUCAGCGGCUCGUUUCCGUUGUUAUGUGGGUUAUGUUGCUCUUACGUCGAUCAUCGUGAUGACUGACCUUUGCUUUUGUGUGUUUUAUAGGCUCCUUCGACACUCGACUGCCGACUGGUGCUGAGAGCGCCCCGCCCCGUCCCCUGGUGGGUGAGUCUGCCCCACCGUCGCCGAAGCGGGUCGAGGCACCUCACCCCUAAGAGCAGGAGGGAGCCCCCGAGCCUCCCCGAUCUGGGGUCGAGGGGGAUCCUAUCACUAUAAGUGAUGGGUCCGGCGGCGAUGGGUCUUCGAAGGACGCCCGUCCUAUGGACGAGGAGGUCCAGACCUCUCCCGUCACGAAGCGGACGCCCUGGCCUACCGGGCUUCGCUCCGUCGAGGAGCAGAGGAAGGAGGGAGAGGAGCGCGAGCAGGAGACGCGGCAGCAGCCGCAGGAGGAGCAGCGGCUGCAGCAGAAAGAAGGAGAGGAAGGGCAGCCGCCAGCAGGUCCCCAGCUCGAGGAGCUGCUAGAGCAGGACCGUCAACAGGAGCUGCAGGAGCUCCAGGAGCAGCAGCAGCAGAGGGGCUAGCAGUUAGAGGAACUGCUCGAGCCUCCCUCUCACAGUCCCCCCAACCAGUGCCACCAGCGCCGCGAGAGCCUGGAAAUAGGGAGGAGAGUCUGCCAGUUUACGGUCCUCCGACCCCAGCGUGGCUCCGUCCAGGGGUGCCCGCUUCAAUCCCAACAGAGUCGGGGCAGGUGGACGGCGUGGUGGCGCUUGCCUGUAUGAUGCGCACCCCUGUUGACCCUCAGUCCGAGAUCAGGGGUAUGAUCUACGGCAUGGACGGAAUUGCUCUGGGAUUCCUCUGGGAGCGUCGAUCGUGGGAGGACCGCGUCCCCACCGAGGAAGACGAGGUCGGGACGUCGGGCGGCGGUGGCGGCAGCGAGACCGGGACCUGGAAGACGGUGGAUGACAACGGGCGGUUCCCUUCCCUCGUCGACUUGUUCCUGCGCCACGGGGGGUCGCUCGAGACCGUCGAGGAGCUCAUUCGAGGCGUCAAGGCGCGCGCCGACCAGGAGAUGGAGAACUGGUGCCCCGACCGGAUCCGCAUCCGGGCUUCCACCGAUCCGUCCGAACCUAACAUUUUCUUAGACGACCGGAAGGAGGCCGAAAAGUGGGAGCACGUCGAGGAGUUUCGCCUCUGGAUGAAGCAUACGGUGGGGCUCCUGUCCGACGUCGUUAACAAUGGGCUCGGACCGGCCUAUGUAAGUGUUUUUCGGGCUUUAAUCCUUAUAGAACGUUUGGUUUUGUGUUCUAGGCGUUCUGGUUUUGCGUUCUUACUGUUCUACUGCUGUUUCAUAGGAUCUAAAGGAGACCUCCCGCAUCAAGUCAAGCUUUAUUCAUGCGAUAAGGGACGGCUGGGAGCAACUCCCUCUCCUCAAGGACAAACUCCUGGAGUCGUAGGAGAAUCUCCUCAAGGCCUAUAAGGAGCUUUUGGCACUUGAGGAGGAGAAGAAGGAGAGGGAGGCCUCGAUGAAAGCAGUGGAAGAAACCGCGCUGCUGAGGGAGUGGGCCAUGAUAGUCAAGGAGGCUGCGUCCAAGGCCCGGGACGAGGCCUUGUCUUAUAAGAAUGAGGCCGCUGACCUGGACAAGGAGAAGGGCCUCCUCAAGACUGAACUUGCCUCCGCCCGAGAAGCCUUCCAAAGGAUGAAGGUGGAGUGUGUGAAUGGUGAGAUCGCCAGGAGCGCCGCGGAGGAGGCCAAAAAGAAGGCUCUUGAGGAUCUCGAGGUGGAGCGGGCUCGAUCUCGCAGCCUCUCUGACGACGUUGAUCGUCUAAAGAGGGAGCUGCUGGAGAAGGAAGGGGCCAUCACACAGGCCGGUAAGGUGAUCGAGGACCUGCGCGUCACCAACACUGAGCUGGUGCGCUCCAACAAAGAGAUCGAGAGAGCCAACACCAAGUUGGUCGGCGAGAAUACACCUCUGGAGGAAAGUAUUCGCGGUACGUUUCUAUAGUCGAGUCUCCUUUUUGAGGUGCAUUUUGUGUUAUCUAAUUUCUCCAUGUCGGUCCUUGUAGGGCUUAAAGAUGAGCUGCUUGCCGCACAAGUCGAGGCUUGCUCCGCCAAGGCCCAGCUCGAGGGGGAGGUCGCUUUGAACCGUCGGCUGCGGACGGCGAUAAGCGAUCUCUCGACGUCUUGGGAGGUCGAGCCUAUGGACGAGUCGAGGGAGGAGGCUCGAGGCGACGCACUGGUCAAUCAGCUGUGCUACCUGGGCACGACGCUGAGGGAUCGAGUGCGGGACGCUCUUCAUAUCAGAGUGAAGUGGGCGAUGGCGGUAGUCUGCUCAGGCUUUUCAUACGAUAUGGAGGUGGUGUCCCACGGCUUCGUCACCGACAUCUCCAAGACUGACGCGGAGAACGAGGAGAGGCUUCAUGCCUUGAUCGACGACGCAGAGGUCCCUGGGGAGAGGUUGGCCAAGUUGUUUGAGCCGGAAGUACUUCCCCCCGAGACUAGCCCGGGCGUGGAUGAUGGUGGUGAGGGCCGAGAUGCGGACUGAGGCCUGUGAGCCUGCUCUGGGUGCCUAGGCCCCUUGUAUAGUAUUUUGUCGUUCUAUCUUAUGUAAUACUAUGUCUUUAAGUGGUUUGUACGAUCUAGGAGCCUGCUUUGUUCCUUUGUUUCCUUUUCUGCAUGUGUCUGUAUUUCCCGUUUGGUCUUUCGUUAAGGCGACCUCGAUUGCCUCCAAGGUGAGGAAGCGAGUAGAGUUACCAUAGCCCGGGGGCGUAGGAGUUCUCAGGCUCAUUGUUCCUCGGCCCUUAAGGGGCUCGAGGUGCCUCUACUAUUCGACCGUACGAGGUUUACUGAUAGGAACGAAAGAAUUAUUUGGUUUUUUCGACACUUGGGGGGGCGCCCCCCUGCUAGCCCCCGAGGGGGUAUCGACUAUGAUGGGUCAUAGUUGGUACUCCCUUCUAACGUCGAGAUUUCGACCCGCAAAAAAGUAAAUCAUUCGAGGGAAAGGUCUUAUUCAUUCAUGCAUUCAUUCAUAAGGCCUUGGUACAGAAUGUACAUGGGAACAUAAAGCUUUGAAAUUCUAGGGGUAGAAUCGAUGUAGCUGUUCGAUGUUCCAUGCGUUGGUGAAGACCACCCCCUUUUCAUCCGCGAGCUUUUACGUCCCUGGCUUCAGUACUUCGGCCACUGUUGAUGGUCCUUAAUGCUCACAUUUAACCAUCAACUAAUCAUAGAAAAGGACCUAUAUGCAACUAACACCUAGACUUAGGGUUUUAUCUGACAGAAUUCCACGAGUUUUGGUGUUUGUCUAUUUCUGCAGGGGGUUAUCAGGAAAUAUGGAAGAAAGGCCCACACGUCGGGUUUACAUAGAGAUAUUAACGUGCUGCGCAAUUUUCUAUCAUCUAGAAGACUCCAGAAGCCACGGGACCGAAGCGGAGGCCGAGAGGGCUCAGGCACAGGGCGCCCGCCCUAGUCCCUUGGGCGCCCGCCCACUUCCAGAGACCAAUUCGGUCACGUUUCGCAGACAACGCUCCACCGACCUAAAGGAUCAAGGAAAACCGUGCGAUCAAUGUCGGUUUGAUCCGACGGCCCAGAUUCACUUGAAGGGACUAUAAAACCAGACCCCCUGGCCCCUAGUGAUCAUACCACUUCUACAGAAUCAAAGCUAGGGUUUCAAUUCUUCAUCCAAGUAGAGAGGAUCCCUCUAGUUCUUCUAGUUCUACCUCUAGUUCAUCUAGAUCUAGUUCUAGUUCAUCUAGUUCUAGUUCUAGUUCCUCUAGUUCUAGUUCUAGUUAGUUCUAGUUGUAAUCUAGAAAAUAGGGAGAGAGAAGAGGAGAGCGGAGGAGGAGGAGCCGGAUCUUCCUCAACAUUGUACUUUUGCAGCAUCUGGUUCGUUCUUCAUCGUUCUCCAGGUUCUUCAAUUCAUAACUCCUGAGUUCUCUAAUUACUUUUAUUUACAUUCAAGUUAUUUAUUGGAUUCCCGCUUGCAUCAAGUGCUCUAAUCUUUGAAACAUUAGAGUAGUAAUUAAUAGAUUAGACGUGGUGUUUAGUCUAGCAAUUACCUAGAAUUGCACCCAAUCUUGCGGAUUGUUGUGGUAGCCUUAGGGUAGUGACAGCCCUAACGGUCGACGUAUUCCACCACGUUCGGAUCGGUGUUUGUAGGACCGUAGUCAGACCUUCCUAGCCCCCUUCUCAUCUCUUUCUGUGGUUAGUGCUCUGAUGUCCCGAUAUAGAUAAUCUUGAAGUAAUUCUUGAUUCUUAGAUCAACUAGAGAACUCUCAUGAAACUUCCUCUCUUCCCACCAAAAAUAUUCAUAUAGUUAUCCUUGGGCAAUCUUGGAUCUUAAUUAGUACACUCACGUUCCCUGUGGAAAAUCGAUACUCUGGAAUACUCCCGGGUGAAGGCUACAUCGGUAUCCGUGCGCUUGCGGAUUUUUCUGUUUGCGUUUAAAAUACCCAACAAGCUUUCUGGCGGCGUUGCCGGGGAACGGUAGAUGUGCUAGUUUCGAACCAAGUCGUCCGUGUAUCCUUUUUCUUUUCUUUUUACCACACUCACCUUAUCACUUUCACCAUACCACAUGGAUUUCACUCUAAGCAUUAAUGAGCAUGGAAUUUAUUUCAUAGCCACUUCAUUUACUCCAUGCUCAUAUGCAACAUCUUCACAAUCCAUUGGUCUCUCCAACAUCACCACAUUCGAGAUCUCCAACCCCCUCAUCCUUUCUAUUUAUAAAAACUUUAAAAGGGCGGUUGUCGAUGCAUAUGUCUAUAAUAAAUUUUGCAGAUCUCGUUGAGUUGAUCUUGAUAUAGGUCAGCGUUGGAGGGGAAACCACUUCACUGACAUAAAUUGAUGGUUUCCCAAGGACAAGCUUAGUGUCCUAAAACAAGCACUGAUCAGAUCAUAACAUGAGCUUUUAAUUAUUUGCAACAUUACCUUGUGUGUUGAGCAUAUUAGGAUAAUUGUAAAAAUAUUCCUUCGGGUAUUCUUGUCACUAACCUUUUUAGGAUUGGAGCAAGAAGAUCGGAUGAAUGACAAGCACAAGGUAUGUACAACCAAUCAUCAUACAACAUUGAAUUAAAUUCAUCCAAACUUGAAUUUUGCAAAAUUCAAGCUUGGGGGAGUACUUUACAUAAAAACAUCCUUUGCCAGGUUGCUACGUUGGUUAUCCCUACCUUUGAGACAUGCUCAAUUUGUUAAAUACUAAUCACACUACUUCAUCUCCACUUGAGUAGAUCUCUAUAAAUGCUCUCAUGCCACCUUUAUUUGCUUUAGUAUAUGUCUAGGUUUGGAGUAGUUUCAUUUAUCUCUUAAUUAAGCAUGGUGCUUAGUUUAGGAAUGAUGAUCUUACUUCCAAAGGAUUUUAAAUUAAGCAUGAUGCUUAGGUUAAAAUUCCCUCCUAAAUCAAAUUAGACAUGGUGUCUAGGUUGAUCUUUGAGCCGAUAGUAUGCUAUAGUAGAUAUUGGAUAUUUUGUUGGACUAACCCCUGCAGGAAAACUUUAACUAUCGACCUGGGAAGUCUUGAGAUAAACUCACAUUGGAGACAAAGAGAGACACACAUGAAGUUUAACAAUUUACACAAGGAAGGCAUAACUCACAAGAGAUGAUCCAUGGAGGGUGCCAAAAACACGAUGCACAACCGCUAAGAGAGGAAAGCUUCCACAAGGUGAUACUGUACCAUCACUCUUCAAGUAAGGUAACAUCUUAAAGUACUUGACUAUCACUUUUAUAAGCUUCUCCUUGGUUCUGGCGUUCACAUGAGUAAAAGAGACAAACAUGUAUGAUUUACAACUCUAGAUUAACCAACCCAAUCGAUUCAAUAUGUUUAGUCCUUCCACCUUUGUGAUCCUACACUCCUAAUCAUAUAAGCUAAAAUGUUGCACCUUCAAUCUCUAGAAGAUAUAAACAAAACAUAAAUAUAGAUAGAUUAUCUUUCCAUUGGGUUGAGCGAUCUGAUCUGACAAAUGUUUUAAAUGCUACACUCAUGAUCUUAUUAUCCAUCAACUUUGUCUUGCUCACUAUGCUUAAGGUUAGAGAGAACAAAUACACUUUUGGUUCUGUUGGUGUUUUCCACCAACAGGGCCCAUGCACUUGAUCUCUGCCUUGUCUCAAUGAGCAGGUACACUUCGAGCAAAAUAUGAAGGACUUUUACAACUCCCAGACUCCACCAAGUGAAGAACCUAGAUCAACGAGUACACACACUGGAGAUACUGGACACUCAGGCAAUCACUGCCCUGAGAUGCUUGAGGACGUAACUAGUGGAGUAACCCUGUUGUGGAAGUAAUUACUGACCUUCUGCCGGUCAAGAGAGACGACCCAGGAUGCCCCGUCAUCCCGAUCUCCUUCGUCAUGGUGGACUUCCUAGAAGCACUCUGCGACUUUGGCUCCAGCGUCAACAUUAUGCCCAGGGGAAUAUUGAAGAACCUCUGCGUCCGAGUUGGUACCUUGUACGCCCCAGCAGACUUCGUGGUGAAAGAGACUGGUACUAAUGAGAGGGCACCCAUCAUCUUAGGGAGGCCAUUCCUAAACACCUCAGGAGCUGUCAUCUACGCUAGUGCUGCCAAGAUCAGUUUCUACAUCGAGGGGAAGAAGUAGACGUUUUCCUUCAAGAACAAGACUACACAAAUCUUAGAGCAAUCCCGACAUGAACCAAGGAAGAGGACCAACAAGAGGAACAGGAACAAGCAAAUGUGGACCAAGUCAGCAAAGAUGGUCACUGCAGUUCAAGGAGGUCAAGAUCGUCGACUUAAGUCACCGUUCAUAACCAAAAAGGACGACCCAAGUAUGCCAAUCAUCCAGUGCUCUAUUGAUGGAUACAACUUCUAGAAGAUGCUUUGCGACACCGGGUCAGGCGUCAACAUAAUGGCCGCCAGUCACCUAUCAGCUCCUAUUCGGAACCAUGCCCCUAAACCGACAUACAUUCAGCUUCACAUGGCAGAUCAGACAUUCCGAAAGGUUAUUGUCAUGAGAGAAGACGAAUUCGAUCCACUCGUCAUCAUUGGGAGACUGUUCUUUAGCACCAUUAAAGCAAUCAUAUACAUUGGAACUGGAGAAGUCCACAUGCACUUCCCAUCAGAGAAUGUACGCCACUGUUUUACUGAUCCUAACUAUAUAGUUGAAGACUCUAAGCAGGUCAGGACAAGAAGACGACGACGCAACCACAACCAGAGGAGGCAAAUCAUCAAGGACGGAUGGGUAGACUAUGAAGGAGAAGUUGUAAGGUCUGAAGACAUACAACUUGAACAGAACUGUCCUGAGGAGACCGUAGCACCGAGUCAGGUGUGUAGAGAGAAGAUAGUUAUACACGAAGAGUAGGCACCGCCGGAACCACCGACUACGCCAUCCAGCGAAUCCCAGGACGAAUGAGAAAACGGAGAGUCCCGUUCGGAGGACUUAAAAACACCGAACGUCUUGCCAAGAGGUAAACUUGGUAGUUAUCCUUUUCCUUUCAAUUAUUUUAAAAUAGUUUGCUUAGUUAAUCAGGUUCAUGCUAUCUUGAAAAAAAAAUAAAAAUGUUAAAAAUAGUAAGCCCCAUGUGAGUAUGCUCAUGGCAUAAAACCCAUAAGUACAUUCACCGUGGUGGCGUAAAAAUGAAAUAAAUAUAUUCCUGUCCUGUAAAAAUAAAAUUAUAAAAAUAAAUUUAUGAUCCUACUAAAGAGAGUAACAUUUAUUGAGGAGGCUCAACAUGAUAAAGGCUAGAUACUUAUGCUAACAUUUAACUAGUUCCACAAAGCUUUGUUGUCUAUUUGAGCUCCACAGAAUUCAAGGAUCAAAGAAGACUAGCAGACGGAGGACAUCCUAAUCGCUGUCAGGGUGCUGCCGACAUUCAAAUACACCUCCGCCAGCUGCUAGCUACAUCAGAAGAAAUUACGUUAAAAUCCAGCUUGGGGGAGAGCACCCCCAUUUAUCCAGCUAAGUGUUCUACUCACGUUUAUAUUUUACUCAAAUAAUAAAAAGAUGCAUAAUCAUAUAAACCCAAAUAAUGAUUUUGUGCUUACAUAUAUAUCUUUGCUUAGUUUGCUAAUUAAAUAAAUAAAUAAAGUUUGCUAUGAACCCUCAUGAUAAGCUCUCACAUGGAAAUGAUGAAUAGUUGCUCUGCCAUGACUAGUUCUCAAAAUUGAAAUCUCUCUCAAGUUUAGGCCUAACUGUUAUUAACUAAGAUUUGCUCUAAACCUGAACUUGUGGGAAGAGUACUUGAUGUUGGGUAUUCUUAACAUCAUUACCAAAAGUAGACUAAGUUCUCUAAUCUAGUAACGGUGCUAAAAAUGCCAAACCUAUCCCUCACACCACUUAAGCCAAGUUGUCAUCCCCAGCAUGAUAUAAGAGACGCGGUAUUGAAAUAUGCAAUUGCUCUUCUAAAUAAAUAAUGAAUGGGAUCUGCAAGCGCACAGAUUAAUACCGAUGCAGCAUUUUAACCGGGAAGUAUUCCAGGUAUCGUUAUUUAUAUUUUUACCACUGGGAAGGGAUUAGCAAUCAUCACUAUUGAUUACAGAAUAGAAUAUGAGAUUGAGCAUCUAUCAUUGCAUGUAUAAUUGAGAACAUUAUAUCUAACUCAUCAUACAGGGAUAAGUGUCACAUAAAGGAUAUAUGAAAUAAUAAUAGUGACAAGGAUAACUAAUCUGAUCUAGCCGCAUAAUAAAUAUGAUAAGCACCUCAAUUAGAUACUCUAGAAAGUCAUUAGCAUGGUAUUAGAACGAACUACAAGAAUAUUCCCUAAGUUAUUCUUAACUAUAUAGUCUAGCAUUAUCAUAGUUAGUGCAAGCAUACUUAGCAAUCAUCGCGAGACAAGACUACGCCCAUGCAUAGUGAUAUUAGCAAGGAAUAUGAGAAACAUAGCAAUCACUCCCCUGUAAUAAUGUUGCUCUGCCAGCCCAAUACACGAGAGGGGGACUAUAUAAGAAUCAAUGAAGCUGUCACUAUCACGAACCACCCCAUGAUCUGGCAUAUUGGGUACAAUCGCAGAUAAAUACGGUAUAAGCACCACGCCUACACAAUAUCUAUCAUUUACCCAUGGAUCCGAUGGAUAAACGCUAUACGAUCCUAAGCAUGUAUAUAGAUCCAAUCUAACUAAGCCAAGUACAUAACUAUGAUAAACUAAGAGCAAUAUAAUCUUGAAUAUAAACAAGUAGAGCAAAGUCAUAAGCAAUAUAUUGAAGUAGAACAAAGUCAUAUUCAUAAUAUUGAAGAACAAAGAUAAUUAGAAAGCAAUUAGAAGCACAAUUAGAGAAUUACCAAGAAUCCUCCUGACAUAUCCGGAAACCAAUCGAAGAUUGACUCCUUCUAGUUCUAAUCCUAUGUAGCUAUGCUAAUCUAGAUGUCUAAUUGAUGUGGUGGCUCUAAUCUUGAUCAGAGGCUUCUUCUCCCUUGAUGGAACAAUGAAUUAGGGUUGAGAGGCUCUCUCCUCCAGGGGCCAGGGGGUCUGGUUUUAUAGUCCCUCCAAGUGAAUAUGGGCCCUUGGAUCAAACCGACAUAGAUUGUAUGGUUUAGAUUCAUCCUUUAGGUCGGUGGAGAUCUCCCGCAAAGCAGAGUCCUGAUUGGACUCAGGGGCAGGGCGGGCGCCCUGACCAACUGGGCGGCCGCCCAGGGUCAGGCCCCGUUUCGCCUCCGCUUCGGUCUCGUGGCUUCUGGAGUCUUCUAGAUGUAAGAUAAUUGCGCAGCACGUUAAUAUCUUUACGUAAUCCUGACAUGUGGGCCUUUCUUCCAUAUUUCCUGAUAACCCCCUGCAGAAAUAGACAAACACCAAAACUCGUGGAAUUCUGUCAGAUAAAACCCUAAGUCUAGAUCUUGAUUUCAUUUGGAUCCUUUUCUUUAUUUAUUUGAUAAUUAAAUUUGAUACUUAAGGACCGUCAACAAACUCCCCCAAGCUUACCUCUUGCUCGUCCCUGAGCAAGGAUAAACUUAGCUAUGGAUCAUAAGUUGUUGCAAUAUCUUUUAAAAAUUUGACGGUACACAUGCUUUUUAAAUAAGAUCUCAUCUCUAAAUUAGAGUAAACUAUCAAGACUUAAAACUUACUUACUUUACCUUCACCAUGGGACUUGUAACUGUCACUUCUGUUUUGAGUGGUUAAAAGAUAGAACAGUCUAGCCAAGUGCCAUGUCUCUUAUUCUUGAUCAGCUAUAGCUCUGGGGUUUUUUGCAGAUUUUCAAAUAAAACUCAGAAAUUCCUUGUAUGAUUCUCUCAGGUCUCUCUUUUGUGGUAUUUUUGGAUCCUUACCAAGGCAUUGAUGGUAUAUGCCUUCUCUCAAGAUAUGUAGUAUUUGUGGUAUGAGGCAUAGUGACAUUGCCUUCUCUCUCACCCUACUCUAAUAAGGCUUUAAUAUCUGGAGCUCAUAGGUGGGAGAUAAAGUAUACAUACUUACAAGACAUUUAUUGCAUAGUCAAACCAUGGAUCCAAAGAAACAAAUCAAUAAGCCAAAUCAAGAUGUGCAUGUGUGGUGAAUGAAUGGUGUAUGGUGAUGAUGGUGAUAACAAUGGUGAAAACAAUGGUGGUGGAAGUCUAAUUCUACUUUUGCUCUUUUGAGGGGAUACAUACCUUCCUUGCUUUUUGAAACUUUAUGAGGAGAACUGUCGGACACUUGUCCAUUUUUACCUCUCGUCUCACUUUUCUUUUCUUUCGAGGUUCCGAGCACUUGCUCCUUUUUACUUCCUCGUAUAUUUUUUUUAGAGCACUCAUCUCUUGAGAUAAUAUAGCAAGUGGUAGUAACAAGAUAACUUGAGCAUUUAUUUCACAAGGGGAAAAUAGAAAUAUUUUUGGUUAUUCUCUUCCGGAUUAGGAGUAGAAUAUUUUUAGGUGGUUCUGGAGAUGGAAAUGAAUGGAUAUAUGUGGAUGGUACUUCCGGAGUAGAAGUAGCAUAUAUGAGUGAACGUGCAAGUGAAUCUUGAUUUAACCACAUGACAAGCUCCUAAGGGUCUACACAGCUUGACCACACUCAAUGCUCAUAAGCAGUAAAUAUUAAAUGUGUGGCUCAAAGUCUAGCAAGCAUGUAUAUAUGGCUGUGGUAGGAAUUUAAACUCUCAUCAUACAGGAACUCAUCAUGCAACAUUUUAAAGAUUUUCAAAGAUAAAAUUCUCCAGAAUUCUAGCAUCUCUAGGAACAGAUAAACAGCAGCUCAACCUUCCCAUAUCAUAUCCGUUAACAACUUAGACUUCAGAUCAAGUUUUCAUCCCACAAGUUUAGGUCUAGAGCAAGCUUUAAAUUAUAACAGUUAUAUCUAAACUUGAGAGAGAACUUAAAAUUUGCAAAUUAGGCAGAGCAACUAUUUAUCAUAUCCAUGCUUAAGUUUUAUUUAGAUACAGAUUAGCAUAGCCACUUUAUUUAUUUAUUAAACACACUAAGCAAAAGAUAUAUAUAUAUAUAUAAGCAUAAAAUCUUUAUUUGGUUUUCCCAUAGUUUAUGUGUAUUUUAAUAUUCUAAAAUAAUAUAAGUAUAAAGAUAGAUAGAAAUACUUAUCGUGAUAAAUGGGGGUGCUCUCUCCCAAGCUGAAUUUUGACGUAAUUUCUCUUGGUGUAGCUGGC